CCUACGGGAGGCAGCAGUAGGGAAUCUUCCACAAUGGGCGAAAGCCUGAUGGAGCAACGCCGCGUGGGUGAAGAAGGUCUUCGGAUCGUUAAACCCUGUUGUUAGAGAAGAAAGUGCGUGAGAGUAACUGUUCACGUUUCGACGGUAUCUAACCAGAAAGCUACGGCUAACUACGUGCCAGCAGCCGCGGUAAUACGGAGGUGGCAAGCGUUAUCCGGAUUUAUUGGGCGUAAAGGGAACGCAGGCGGUCUUUUAAGUCUGAUGUGAAAGCCUUCGGCUUAACCGGAGUAGUGCAUUGGAAACUGGGAGACUUGAGUGCAGAAGAGGAGAGUGGAACUCCAGGUGUAGCGGUGAAAUGCGUAGAUAUAUGGAAGAACACCAGUGGCGAAAGCGGCUCUCUGGUCUGUAACUGACGCUGAGGUUCGAAAGCGUGGGUAGCAAACAGGAUUAGAUACCCCAGUAGUC
rnacentral:rRNA from 1 species